rnacentral:lncRNA from 1 species
CCGCCCGCACGGCCGAGCCCGCCCCUCUUCGCCUCCCGUGACCGCUGUUUACCGGCACUGCUCGUCUGGGGAGGGGAAGGCUCGUUAUUCGCUCCCCGGUGGCUGUUGCCUCCUCGGCAAUUACCGUCACAGCGCCCCGGGGGACGGGGCAGUGCCGGGUACGGAGGCCCCUGCCGGGGUGGCCCCGCCCGCGGGGAGUCGGGGUGGCCCUGAGGUGCUCACAGGGCACCGAGGAGGAGAGAGAGGCUUGUUACCAGAGUCACAGAAUCACUUAAUUCCAGCCACCAUGUCAACUAAACCACAGGACUCAGUGCCACGUCCAGUCUUGCCUCCUGGGAUGGUCACUCUGCCACCUCCCUGGGCAGCCCAUUCCAGCGUCUAAUCACUCUUUCUGUGAAGAAAUUCUUCCUAGUGUCCAAUGUCCUCAUGUUACGCAGGUGCAUGUCCCCUUCCACAUAGAUCAGGGGCGCAGAGGGCAGAGAGGUUUCUGUCACCCCAGGGGUGGGGAGCACAUCCUCCUGCUCCGAUUCCAGCCUCAUGUACUGAAGCGCAGCACAGGCAGAGAUGGCAAAUUCAUGUGUGUGUGACUGCCCCACCCUGCCCCGAAACUCAGCAGGUGAGUCUGGUCAUGUGGCAGUUAUGUCAACUUCUAUUUUAAUUUUUUUUUUUAAUUUCUUAAGGCAGCCCAGUGGGGAGUUUCAUUAUGUGUGCAAGUGUCGCCCGUCUGUCUCCUUGCCCCAGACCCAGCAGCCUGGAAGACUGUGGCGAUUAAAGAACAGAAGAAAGCAUAACAGUGAAGGAGCAAGGACUUGAAAGGAAAAAAGAUUUCUGAUCACUUUUGUUUUAACAUGAGGAUAAUUCAAAUAUGUUGAAGAUCGAAUGAUUCCCGUUACACAUUCAAUACUUCUGAUUCAGCUAGAGGUGGCUGCUGUCAAUACAUGUCUGUCAAAACCCCAAAGAUCUUCCAAGAAGAUCAAUAAAAAUCCAAUUUUACAAUCUUGAUAUUUUCA